AAAGAUAAAGUACUUAGUACAUUUUAGUUACAUUAAAAAAGUUUAAAUUUAUUUAAUAUCUUUA
rnacentral:tRNA from 1 species